GACGGGCCCGCACAAGCAGCGGAGCGUGUGGUUUAAUUCGAUGUUACACGAAGAACCUUACCAGGGUUUGACAUGCAAGUGGUAGGAAGCCGAAAGGUGACCGACCCUUCGGGGAGCUUGCACAGGUGCUGCAUGGCUGUCGUCAGCUCGUGUCGUGAGAUGUUCGGUUAAGUCCGCUAACGAGCGCAACCCUCGCUGUGUGUUAUAUGUGUCACACGGGACUGCCGGUCUUAAGCCGGAGGAAGGUGGGGAUGAUGUCAAGUCAGCAUGGCCUUUAUAUCCUGGGCUACACACACGCUACAAUGGCCAACACAAUAGGUUGCUAAGCCGCGAGGUGGCGCCAAUCCAUAAAGUUGGUCUCAGUUCAGAUUGUAGGCUGCAACCCGCCUGCAUGAAGUUGGAGUUGCUAGUAAACGCAGGUCAGCCAUACUGCGUUGAAUACGUUCCCGGGGCUU
rnacentral:rRNA from 1 species